GACGAACGCUGGCGGCGUGCCUAAUUCAUGCAAGUUGAGCGCUGCUUUCCGCCAUACUCUUUGCACUGAUUUGGAAAGAGCCGGGGCGGACGGCUUGGUAAAACUGGCUUAGCCUACCCAUCAGCGUUUGAUAACACUUGGAAACAGCUUCUAAUACCGCAUAACAGUUUAUUCCGCAUUGCAUCAGAGUGAAGGCCCAUUUCUGGUCUCUCUCACGCAUGAUCCCGCGGUGCAUUAGCUAGUUGGUCAGGUAACGGCUGACCAAGGCCACGAUGAAUAGCCGACGUGAGAGGGGGAUCGGCCACAGUGGGACUGCACCACGGCCCAGACCCCUACGGGAGGCAGCAGUAGGGAAUCUUCGGAACUGGACGAAAGUCUGCCCGAGCACCGCCGCGUGAGUGAAGAAGGUUUUCGGAUCGUAAAACUCUGUUGUUAGAGAAGACCAAGGACGUUAGUAAAUGAACGUAAACUGACGGUAUCUAACCAGAAAGCCACGGCUAACUACGUG
rnacentral:rRNA from 1 species